UGGAGAGGUUUGAUCCUGGCUCAGGAUGAACGCUGGCGGCGUGCCUAAUACAUGCAAGUCGAGCGAACAGAUAAGGAGCUUGCUCCUUUGACGUUAGCGGCGGACGGGUGAGUAACACGUGGGUAACCUACCUAUAAGACUGGAAUAACUCCGGGAAACCGGGGCUAAUGCCGGAUAACAUUUAGAACCGCAUGGUUCUAAAGUGAAAGAUGGUUUUGCUAUCACUUAUAGAUGGACCCGCGCCGUAUUAGCUAGUUGGUAAGGUAACGGCUUACCAAGGCAACGAUACGUAGCCGACCUGAGAGGGUGAUCGGCCACACUGGAACUGAGACACGGUCCAGACUCCUACGGGAGGCAGCAGUAGGGAAUCUUCCGCAAUGGGCGAAAGCCUGACGGAGCAACGCCGCGUGAGUGAUGAAGGUCUUCGGAUCGUAAAACUCUGUUAUUAGGGAAGAACAAAUGUGUAAGUAACUGUGCACGUCUUGACGGUACCUAAUCAGAAAGCCACGGCUAACUACGUGCCAGCAGCCGCGGUAAUA
rnacentral:rRNA from 1 species